rnacentral:rRNA from 1 species
CCUACGGGAGGCAGCAGUGAGGAAUAUUGGACAAUGGGCUUACGCCUGAACCAGCCAAGUCGCGUGAGGGAAGACUGCCCUAUGGGUUGUAAACCUCUUUUGUCAGGGAGCAACGCCGGCUACGUGUAGCCGGACUGAGAGUACCUGAAGAAAAAGCAUCGGCUAACUCCGUGCCAGCAGCCGCGGUAAUACGGAGGAUGCGAGCGUUAUCCGGAUUUAUUGGGUUUAAAGGGUGCGCAGGCGGCGAGUUAAGUCAGCGGUAAAAUUUCGGGGCUCAACCCCGACAAGCCGUUGAAACUGGCUGGCUAGAGUGGGCGAGAAGUAGGCGGAAUGCGUGGUGUAGCGGUGAAAUGCAUAGAUAUCACGCAGAACUCCGAUUGCGAAGGCAGCAUACCGGCGCGCAACUGACGCUCAGGCACGAAAGCGUGGGUAUCGAACAGGAUUAGAUACCCUAGUAGUC